rnacentral:lncRNA from 1 species
ACUGAUAAUGUGCUUCGAUAAAAAUUAAACUAUGAUAUUGUUCUCUACUAAAACUACUUGGAGGCUAGGGUUUUACACAUGAGAAUUUAAAAUAAAUUGACCAAGUCAACCGGGCCUCGACCGCUGCUAAAAUCCGUCAGAAAAGCUGUAAAAAUCGGCCCGGAACACUUCUGCUGGGCGCGGCCGCGCUAAACUAGCGCAGGCGCGCUAGUUGGCUUUAAUGUAGCGCGGGCGCGCUAAGAACUAGCGCGGGGGCGCUACUUUCUGACUUUGGACUAGCGCGGGCGCGCUAAGAGUUAGCGCGGGGGCGCUACUUUCUGCCACUGGCAGCCUGUUUCUUCGUUUUCAGCUCGUUCUCGCGUGCAUGCCCUUCCUCGC